rnacentral:snoRNA from 1 species
UUCCAUGAUGAGGACAAUAUAAGAUGUAUCCUUGUAAACGCUCCCAUGCUUCUGAAAUGGUUUUUGCUUUCUGCUACUGGAAACUGGUAAUCUUUCCUCUUAAGGCA